rnacentral:tRNA from 1 species
AGGGGUGUAGCCAAAUGGGAAGGCAACCGGUUUUGACCCAGUCAUGAGCAGGUUCGAUCCCUGCCACCCCCGCCA